rnacentral:rRNA from 1 species
AGCAGCCGCGGUAAUUCCAGCUCCAAUAGCGUAUAUUAAAGUUGUUGCAGUUAAAAAGCUCGUAGUUGAAUUUCGGGAUCAAUAUGUUGGUCGUGCCUUGGUACGUACUAUCUUAUUGGUUUCUCCCUUCUGACGAACCAUGAUGUCAUUAAUUUGGUGUCAUGGGGAAUCAGGAUUGUUACUUUGAAAAAUUAGAGUGUUUAAAGCAGGCUCACGCUUGAAUAUAUUAGCAUGGAAUAAUGAAAUAGGACGUUUGAUUCUAUUUUGUUGGUUUCUAGGAUCGAUGUAAUGAUUAAUAGGGAUAGUUGGGGGCAUUAGUAUUCAAUUGUCAGAGGUGAAAUUCUUGGAUUUAUUGAAGUACUAACUACUGCGAAAGCAUUUGCCAAGGAUGUUUUCAUUAAUCAAGAACGAAAGUUAGGGGAUCGAAGA